rnacentral:rRNA from 1 species
AUGGUGAGCACGGCGCCCAUGCCGCCGCCGCCGCAGCUGAGCCUGGCAGACCUCAGGGCCAUGUCGGUGCUUGGCCACGGCGCGAGGGGCGUGGUCUUCCACGUCGUACCCGUUGUCGCGGCAGCUGCAGGCGGGGGCUGCUCCCCCGACCAGCCCAUGGCCCUCAAGGCCAUGUCCCGCGCUGCCGCGCGCCAAAAGAGCGCCGCGGGCGGGCCAGCACCUGGCGGCGACGGCCUCCGGAGGAUCUGGUUCGAGCGCGACGUCCUGCUGGCGGUCCGCCACCCGCUCCUGCCCUCGCUCCGCGGCGUCGUGGCCACCGAAGCCGUCGUCGGCUUCGCCAUCGACCGCUGCGCCGGCGGGGACCUUAACUCCCUCCGCCGCCGCCAGGCCGGGCGGGCGUUCUCCGACGCCGCCAUCCGUUUCUACGCGGCGGAGCUGGUGCUCGUGCUCGAGCACCUCCACGGCCUCGGUGUCGUGUACCGUGACCUCAAGCCGGAUAACGUCCUCAUCCAGGGCUCUGGCCAUAUCAUGCUCGUCGACUUCGACCUCUCCACCAGCCUACCCCCGCCGUUGCCACCGCCGCCGCCUGACACUAAUUCUCCAUCACCCGGGAGCUCGCUUUCUUCUAAUUCUUCACGUCGCUGCAAGCGCAAAAACAACAAGACACUGGUCUUCGGACACUUCUCCUCUCGCCGGGCAGCCUCGCCGGAGUCGUCGUCCUCCUCCUCCACCACCUCCAGGGCGGCCUCUCCCGCCUCGUCGUCCUCCUGCUGCUCGUCGCCAGGCGCGGGGACGACGCCGGCCAAGUCGAACUCGUUCGUGGGGACGGAGUACUACGUGGCGCCCGAGGUUGUGGCCGGGAGCGGGCACGACUACGCGGUCGAUUGGUGGGGCCUCGGGGUGGUGCUCUACGAGAUGCUGUAUGGGCGCACGCCGUUCCGUGGCCGGAGCCGGCGGGAGACGUUCCAACGCGUGCUCACCGCCCAGCCGGAGCUGCCGGGCGAGCCGACGCCACUGCGCGACCUCAUCGCCCGGCUUUUGGAAAAGGACUCCGGCAAGCGGCUCGGCGCCAACGGCGUGAAGCGGCACGCCUUCUUCCGUGGCGUGUGCUGGGACCGCGUCCUCGACGUGGCACGGCCUCCGUUUAUCCCGAUGCCGUACGACGACAGUGCCGACUCGGGGGCAGAGGCGGAGACGCUCGACGUAGAGAAGGUUGUGCAUGAGACGUUUGCCUUGAGUGCCACUCGCACGUCCGAAGAAAAGCCUGACGGCGGCGACAGCGAUUUCUCCAUAUUCUUUUAG